ensembl:lncRNA
CCUGACCCAGUCAGAGGCUCCGUGGGGAAACAUGAGGCACAUGACCAUGUCUGGUCACGGCUCGGCACAGAACCGGCCCACAGCCGGCACGGAACUGGCCCACAGCCAGCACAGAACCGGCCCACAGCCGACACGGAACUGGCCCACAGCGGCACUGAUCUGGUGCUGACCCAGCUCAUGUCUGGCCUUGCCUUGGACCAGGGCGGACCGCAGCCGUUCCCAUGGCCACUGACCCUCUGCUAACCCUUGACCCUCGACCCCUAGGGCUUCUCGUCAGAUCUGACCUAAGGCCUGAAUAACUAUUACGGUCAUCAGUCCAGUCAGCACGGGUUGCUCUUGUCAUUCUGACCUGGUCUUGAGUGUCUCAACAGCGUGGACAACCCAAAGGUACACACACACACACACCUGCCUCAUUAGGUCCCACAAAGUGCUGCCUGAGUUUGAAAUGUGUAUCCUACUUGGCAAAUCUCUGACUUGGCUCUUUCAAGGCUUGUGGACAACAAACAAAAGUGAAAAUAAAACAACAAACAAACAGAUAAACACACGAGGACGGCCCGGAUGUUCACCCGGCGUGGUGAGGGGUCGUUGGUAGGUAUGCGGGUGUGAAACAAACACAACACAACUUAACAGGAGCUCAAUGCAGCUGUUGUUCAGCCUUUUCCGUUUCCUACAACCCUGUCCCCAUCUGACAUGCCAACUACAACCCAAACACACACACACACACACACACCCUCUAAGAUGUAUUUGUUCAGAGGGAGUACACACACACACACACACACACACACACACACACACAACCUCUAAGUUCAGAGGGAGUACAGACACACACACACACACACACACACACACACACACACACACACACACACACACACACACACACACACACACACACACACACACACACACACACACACACACACACACACACACACACACACACACACACACACACACACACACACACACACACACACACACAGCUCUGCUUGUAGAAAACUCGACUACAACUGUAAGGCGUUAGUGUUAUUUACAGAGUUAUUGAAGAGACCACCACUAGGGGGCACUACAGCAGGACCAGGACUGAGUCUGUGCUAGUCCACGUCAUAGACCACAUGAGACCACAUGAGACCAGGACUGAGUCUGUGCUAGUCCACGUCAUAGACCACAUGAGACCAGGACUGAGUCUGUCCUAGUCCACGUCAUAGACCACAUGAGACCACAUGAGACCAGGGAGUCUGUCAUAGACCACAUGAGACCACAUGAGACCAAUGUUACUGACAGGACUAGAGGGUGCUUUAGGAAGGGUGCUGAGCAGGAACAAAUGAAGUAGCGAAUGAUUAGUCAAUUAAAUGAGUGGAGUUCUGGGGCAACAGAAGUCAAAGGUGUCAUCGUACAGCGGCCAUGGUAACAGAGCGGGUUUAACACAACACAAGUCUCCAUCCUGUAACCAUGGUAACGGAGCGGGUUUAACACAACACAAGUCUCCAUCCUGUAACCAUGGUGACAGAGAGGGUUUAACACAACACAAGUCUCCAUCCUGUAACCAUGGUGACAGAGCGGGUUUAACACAACACAAGUCUUCAUCCUGUAACCAAGGAGGUUCCGCCACAACCCUUCUGGAAACCCACCAAUGGCCGGUCCGAAUGCCAAACUGCCCCUAGUGGCCGGCCCUAGUUCAGCAGGAAGCACUGUGUUGGUACAGGAAACCACACACACACACACACACACACACACACAGCAUACAACACUGCAGGACCUCAAACAUACAGCUCUACACACACACACACACACACACACACACACACACACACACACACACACACACACAGCAUACAACACUGCAGGACCUCAAACAUACAGCUCUCCACUCACACACACACACACACACACACACACAGCAUACAACACUGCAGGACCUCAAACAUACAGCUCUCCACACACACACACACACACACACACAUUGAUGUAAAACUGAACUCCUGUCUGGGGCAUUCAGCUGGAAUGUACAGAUCCAAAACAAUAUGGUUGCCAAGGGAACAGAAGAGUACCGGAACAGAGGGAGCAUUCCACCUACACC